UACGUAGGGUGCGAGCGUUGUCCGGAAUUACUGGGCGUAAAGAGCUUGUAGGUGGUUUGUCGCGUUGUUCGUGAAAUCUCACGGCUCAACUGUGAGCGUGCGGGCGAUACGGGCAGACUAGAGUACUGCAGGGGAGACUGGAAUUCCUGGUGUAGCGGUGGAAUGCGCAGAUAUCAGGAGGAACACCAGCGGCGAAGGCGGCGCUCUGGGCCGGUACUGACGCUGAGGAGCGAAAGCGUGGGGAUCAAACAGG
rnacentral:rRNA from 1 species